rnacentral:tRNA from 1 species
AUUACUUUGGCAGACUAGUGCAAUAGAUUUAGAAUCUUUUUAAGAAGUUUAGAUUUCUUCAAGUAAUA